GACGAACGCUGGCGGCGUGCCUAAUACAUGCAAGUAGAACGCUGAAGGAGGAGCUUGCUCUUCUGGAUGAGUUGCGAACGGGUGAGUAACGCGUAGGUAACCUGCCUGGUAGCGGGGGAUAACUAUUGGAAACGAUAGCUAAUACCGCAUAAGAGUAGAUGUUGCAUGACAUUUACUUAAAAGGUGCAAUUGCAUCACUACCAGAUGGACCUGCGUUGUAUUAGCUAGUUGGUGGGGUAACGGCUUACCAAGGCGACGAUACAUAGCCGACCUGAGAGGGUGAUCGGCCACACUGGGACUGAGACACGGCCCAGACUGCUACGGGAGGCAGCAGUAGGGAAUCUUCGGCAAUGGACGGAAGUCUGACCGAGCAACGCCGCGUGAGUGAAGAAGGUUUUCGGAUCGUAAAGCUCUGUUGUAAGAGAAGAACGAGUGUGAGAGUGGAAAGUUCACACUGUGACGGUAUCUUACCAGAAAGGGACGGCUAACUACGUG
rnacentral:rRNA from 1 species